rnacentral:rRNA from 1 species
ACGAUUGAAGCCAGUCGUACCUUCGGGUAAUCAGCCUUUUGGGCAUGAUUCUGUGGAGUGUGAGGAGUUAAACGCCUUCAUGCCUGCAUAUUCGUGUACUUUGGGUGUACUUGCCUGUGUGGUUAGUUAACAUCAAUUUUGGUUAUCAUAAAAUGGCUGGAGGAAUGUAGCUUCGAUUUCGAUUGAAGUGUUAUAGCCUUCGGCAGAUGUGAUGAUCGGGAUUGAGGAUUGCAACGGAUACCCUUCGGGGCUACCUGUCUGAUCUCUGAUCGUUGCUUUGGUGCCGAAAGCGUGCUUACGGUUAUCAAAGUCGAUGGCUAAUAGGUUAGAACGGGUUAAAUUCGUUAAGGAUGUUGACGUA